rnacentral:rRNA from 1 species
CCUACGGGUGGCAGCAGUGGGGAAUAUUGGACAAUGGGGGGAACCCUGAUCCAGCCAUGCCGCGUGUGUGAAGAAGGCCCUCGGGUUGUAAAGCACUUUCAGUGAGGAAGAACGCCUGGUGGUUAAUACCCAUCAGGAAAGACAUCACUCACAGAAGAAGCACCGGCUAACUCCGUGCCAGCAGCCGCGGUAAUACGGAGGGUGCGAGCGUUAAUCGGAAUUACUGGGCGUAAAGCGCGCGUAGGUGGCUUGAUAAGCCUGUUGUGAAAGCCCCGGGCUCAACCUGGGAACGGCAUCCGGAACUGUCAAGCUAGAGUGCAGGAGAGGAAGGUAGAAUUCCCGGUGUAGCGGUGAAAUGCGUAGAGAUCGGGAGGAAUACCAGUGGCGAAGGCGGCCUUCUGGACUGACACUGACACUGAGGUGCGAAAGCGUGGGUAGCAAACAGGAUUAGAUACCCCAGUAGUC